UCGUGGUGUGAGCUUUAACUACCCUUUCCCACCCGCCGCUAGGGUUUCUCCUCUCUUUUUUCCCCCUCCUCCCCGCUCCCCCUUCAAUCCCCCGACGCCGGCUAGGGUUUUGCCUCAUCCCCUCCGCCGCCACCGCCGGCGCUGGAGCGAGCGAGACCGAGGGGGUAGGGAGCGAGCGGAGCGUAGGCAGCCAUGUCGCUGCGCCCGAGCGAGCGGGUCGAGGUGCGGCGGAACCGCUACAAGGUGGCGGUGGACGCGGAGGAGGGGCGGCGGCGGCGCGAGGACAACAUGGUGGAGCUCCGCAAGAACCGCCGCGAGGAGAGCCUCCUCAAGAAGCGCCGCGAGGGGCUCCAGGCCCAGGUCCCCGUCCCCGCCUCCGGGGUCGAGAAGAAGCUUGAAAGCCUCCCAGCUAUGGUUAGUGGGGUUUAUUCGGACGACAACAACCUUCAGCUUGAGGCCACAACACAAUUCCGCAAGUUGCUCUCCAUAGAGAGGAGCCCCCCGAUUGAGGAAGUUAUUCAGUCAGGUGUUGUUCCUAGAUUUGUGCAGUUCCUCACCAGAGAGGAUUUCCCUCAACUGCAGUUUGAAGCAGCAUGGGCACUUACAAAUAUUGCUUCUGGCACUUCGGAAAAUACGAAGGUUGUCAUUGAUCAUGGGGCUGUUCCGAUAUUUGUGAAACUUCUUCAGUCUGCUAGUGAUGAUGUUCGUGAGCAGGCUGUAUGGGCUUUGGGCAAUGUUGCUGGUGAUUCUCCAAAGUGCCGCGACCUUGUUCUCGCCAAUGGUGCCUUGAUGCCUCUGCUAGCCCAGUUAAAUGAGCAUGCUAAGCUCUCCAUGUUGAGGAAUGCUACAUGGACUCUGUCAAACUUCUGCAGGGGAAAGCCGCAGCCAUCAUUUGAUCAGACUAAGCCUGCUCUUCCAGCACUUGCACGACUUAUCCACUCCAAUGAUGAGGAAGUUCUCACUGAUGCAUGCUGGGCUCUUUCAUACUUAUCUGAUGGCACUAAUGACAAAAUCCAAGCUGUGAUUGAAGCUGGUGUGUGUCCCCGCCUUGUGGAGCUCCUCCUCCAUCCAUCACCUUCGGUGCUUAUACCUGCUCUACGAACUGUUGGAAACAUUGUCACUGGAGAUGAUUUGCAAACUCAGUGCAUCAUUGAUCAUCAAGCUCUUCCCUGCCUUCUGAAUCUAUUGACACAGAACCAUAAGAAAAGUAUUAAGAAAGAGGCUUGCUGGACAAUUUCAAAUAUUACUGCUGGAAACAAAGAUCAGAUACAGGCUGUGAUUAGUGGUGGAAUUAUCGCUCCUUUAUUGCAUCUACUCCAAACAGCAGAGUUUGAUAUUAAGAAAGAGGCUGCUUGGGCUAUCUCAAAUGCUACCUCAGGUGGUUCCCACGAGCAAAUCAAGUAUUUGGUGUCUGAGGGCUGCAUCAAGCCAUUGUGCGACCUUCUUGUUUGCCCUGAUCCAAGAAUUGUAACAGUGUGUUUGGAGGGUCUUGAGAAUAUUCUCAAAGUGGGUGAGCAUGACAAGGCCGCAGGUGCAACAGGUGACAUCAAUGUCUUUGCUCAGAUGAUCGAUGAAGCUGAAGGCCUGGAGAAGAUUGAGAACCUACAGAGCCAUGAUAACAAUGAAAUCUAUGAAAAGGCUGUGAAGCUUCUUGAGGCAUACUGGAUGGAGGAGGAAGAUGAGGCAAUGGCUACUGCUGGGGAAGCUGCUCCUGCUGUUUUUGACUUUGGCCAAGGUGGCAACCCUCCCGCUGGUGGUGGUUUGAACUUCAAUUAAGUACAGGUGCUCCAAACACCAUCAGUUAAUAUUCAUUGCAUCAAGAGCCGUUUACUGUUUUUAUGUGUUGUUUCUGCAAACAGACUAACUUUUCUGAUAUUCACUUUGCAGUCUUUUUACCAAAGGGUGGUAAUACCCUCAGUGAUGGCUUGUCAUGAUUAGUCAAUGUAGUCAGUUUGGUUCCAUGUGCGGGAUGAUGGCUGUGGUGGGGUCCAAUAAGCUUGAGAUUUCGAUGGAGCUGGGUUACCAAGUCAUGGAUAUCAAUAUCGCAGGGUCUGUAACAGGAUUAUAAUUGUCAACCUGAGUCUGGAUUUUUGAAAAGGCUACUCUAGAGUUUGCAUAGUUUGGUGUGUUAUAUCUGGCUACUGUAUAGCCCGUCGUCUGCAAGGCCGUUAAGACAUUCCUGAAUAGUUUGGUUGAGGUUUUUCAGGAAUUGGCUGCGUUGCAGUUUGUCCGGAGUUGUAAACCUUCAAUGGUUUCUGAGUAUAUUGCUAGGCCUUUAUUUACUACGGUCAAUUCAA